rnacentral:rRNA from 1 species
GCAGCGACGCCGCGUGGGGGAGGAAGGCCUUCGGGUCGUAAACCCCUUUCAGCAGGGACGAAAUUGACGGUACCUGCAGAAGAAGCGCCGGCCAACUACGUGCCAGCAGCCGCGGUAAUACGUAGGGCGCAAGCGUUGUCCGGAUUCAUUGGGCGUAAAGGGCUCGUAGGCGGUUUGGUAAGUCGGAUGUGAAAGGUUAGGGCUCAACCCUAAGAUUGCAUCCGAUACUGCUAUGACUAGAGUCCGGUAGAGGAGUGUGGAAUUCCUGGUGUAGCGGUGAAAUGCGCAGAUAUCAGGAGGAACACCGACGGCGAAGGCAGCACUCUGGGCCGGUACUGACGCUGAGGAGCGAAAGCGUGGGUAGCAAACAGGAUUAGAUACCCUGGUAGUCCACGCCGUAAACGUUGGGCACUAGGUGUGGGGCCUUAUCAACGGGUUCCGUGCCGUAGCUAACGCAUUAAGUGCC